AGGAGCGUCAACUCCAAGAUUCCCAAAUGAUUUUUCUACUUGAGGUAGAGAAAUCAACCUAGUUCUCAAAUUUAUAGGGAUGUUCAUUAAAGAACGUCUUAGAUAUCCGUGCUUCUUUUCUGAAGCACGGAUUACAGCCCUCCAUAGGAUGGCCAUAAUCAUUUCAACUCUUGACGGCUUAAAUUUGCAUAAAUCUCCACUAACUU
rnacentral:misc_RNA from 1 species